AUGGUUGAUCGUAUGAUAGCUGUAUUUUAUACAGAGGAAAGUCGAGACUCACCACGAAAGUGUGAAACAGGGGACUGUGUAGUAAACAGUCGAGGGUAACCUUAGGGAGCAUUAAAAGCUGAAAAGUGCAACAGAAAAUAAACCGCCGAUGUCUAUUUGUAGUACAGGUAAGGGCGAACAAGUGAGGUAAGAGCUCACUCACGAAGAUCCAGGUAACUGACCGUGUGGCAAACCCCCUCUUGAGCAAUGCCAAGAAAAGGUAGGCAGCUUAGAUUAAUUAUCAUAUCCUAUCUUAUUUGAUAGUCAGACAAAAUCUCGCUUAUAGAUCAACCAAAACC
rnacentral:RNase_P_RNA from 1 species